rnacentral:tRNA from 1 species
GGUUGUGGCUCAGUGGUAAAGUGUUGCCUAGCAUACAUGAGGCACUGGGUUCGAUCCUCAGCACCA